rnacentral:rRNA from 1 species
GACAGAGGGUGCAAACGUUGUUCGGAAUUACUGGGCGUAAAGGGUGCGUAGGUGGCGCCGUAAGUCGGGUGUGAAAUUUCGGAGCUUAACUCCGAAACUGCAUUCGAUACUGCGGUGCUUGAGGACUGGAGAGGAGACUGGAAUUCAUGGUGUAGCAGUGAAAUGCGUAGAGAUCAUGAGGAAGACCAGUGGCGAAGGCGGGUCUCUGGACAGUUCCUGACACUGAGGCACGAAGGCCAGGGGAGCAAACGGG